UACGAAGGGUGCAAGCGUUACUCGGAAUUACUGGGCGUAAAGCGUGCGUAGGCGGUUUGUUAAGUCUGUCGUGAAAGCCCCGGGCUCAACCUGGGAAUGGCGAUGGAUACUGGCGAGCUAGAGUACGGUAGAGGAGAGUGGAAUUCCCGGUGUAGCAGUGAAAUGCGUAGAGAUGCGGAGGAACACCGAUGGCGAAGGCAGCCCCCUGGGCUAGCACUGACGCUCAGGCACGAAAGCGUGGGGAGCAAACAGG
rnacentral:rRNA from 1 species